UUCGAGCUAUGGCACUUGCCGCAUAGAUGUGGGGGGGCCUUGCACUAAUAGUGAUAGUUACCACUGCAUUUAGAAAUAGAACGCAUUCAUGCAGACAAGGAUGAUUCUUUAUAUUUUUGGCUACCACUUCAAGUGCCUUCACCAAGUGUUACAAUGCUGCACGCAGCCAUACUAAGGAUCUCGCAGCAACACCUGGAGGUAAAAAGCAGAAGCAGUCAAAGUGCUGGUGUGUACUGGACACUAUGUUUGAAAACAUUAGGCAAGAAGAGUGCAAGAAGCAGACAUAACAACUGCAUUUAUUUCCAUAAUUCCCCAUUUGAAUGGCCUUUUCUUUUUGCUUAGACAAUGCCUACACCUAGCUACAGCAGCUCCCUCAUACAGACUCCGCAAGCCAAGAGGCCGUGGAGGCAAAUGCAGGCAGCCAGCACACCCCGAACAGCCACCUUGACUGCGGGCGUGUCACCCUAGUCGCCAAGGAAACAUUUGAGGGAAAGCGACAGGCAAUGUGAACAGCCACUUCUCCAUGUAAACAAUACUCUUUCUCUCGUAUGACUCCUACGCCUCGCCACGCCAGCAGACUUGUGCACAAAGAUGCCGCGGAGUCACGUGCAGGUCAGAGGCAAGAAGCAGUGGCACUGGUGUCGACAUUCACCCACUUUCUUUUUCUUACACUGAGGCAGCCAGCACACCUCGAACAGCCACCUUGACUGCGGGUGUGUCAGUAGAUUCCUGUUGUACAUAUGCUCAUAAUAAACAUCAGUAAACUUGAACUUGAUAAUAAACUUGAAGGCAAAUGGGA
rnacentral:lncRNA from 1 species